rnacentral:rRNA from 1 species
ACGAACGCUGGCGGCAUGCCUAACACAUGCAAGUCGAACGAGACCUUCGGGUCUAGUGGCGCACGGGUGCGUAACGCGUGGGAACCUGCCCUUAGGUUCGGGAUAACUCCCCGAAAGGGGUGCUAAUACCGGAUAAUGUCUUCGGACCAAAGAUUUAUCGCCUUUGGAUGAGCCCGCGUUGGAUUAGCUAGUUGGUAGGGUAAAAGCCUACCAAGGCGACGAUCCAUAGCUGGUCUGAGAGGAUGAUCAGCCACACUGGGACUGAGACACGGCCCAGACUCCUACGGGAGGCAGCAGUGGGGAAUAUUGGACAAUGGGCGAAAGCCUGAUCCAGCAAUGCCGCGUGAGUGAUGAAGGCCUUAGGGUUGUAAAGCUCUUUUACCCGGGAUGAUAAUGACAGUAGCGGGAGAAUAAGCUCCGGCUAACUCCGUG